CAAAGAGGCCUGUUUGUCUUUGUUCUGCAGUGGUAUAUAAGCGCUUGGGGGUCGUGGCGAUCACAGUUUAGAUUUACCUGGCACUGAAACCAAGAAAGAUCAUGGACAAGUGUCUGAAGACGAUGAUGGUGAUGCUGUUGGCCGCGCCCCUGGCCCUAGCUCUACCCGCUGUAAGCGAGGCGGCACCGGUCAGCGAGGAGGACGAGGAACUUGUGCCCUUUUUUGACCUCGCUGCCAACGAUAGUGACGCCGAAAAUGGAACAGUCCGCGUGUUUUUGUUCCCUGGUUCUGUCUCUCAUUCUCAACAACCAUUCGGCGCAUAUCCUUAUCCCCAGCAUACUGGAAUUAUUAAUUAUCCCAAUUAUCAACAACCCUCUUAUCAAGGAACAGGAUAUUACCCGGCCAAUGGAUUGUAUCCGUAUUCAACAGACUGUAUAUAUUGGUGUGUAAAAUAUGUGGGCACCUCCAGAGAAGUCUAUUGCUGCAGGCAAUAGCCAUUGUACUGCCUGGCUUCCGAACAGUAUUUACGAACAAUCAUGUUAAUACUUUUAGCUGGCUGAUUGUCAGCAGUCCUCAUUACUGUGGUUACAUUAAUUACAGAGAUUGAUAUUUGACAAAACCUUUGCACCUAAACUGGAAUGGUAUAAACCCAGAUAUAUCCGCAUGUGUAUGACUACGAUGACCCAGCUCUGCAACUGGUGUAGUCUGAACUCCGCGUGUGUAGCCGCACGACCUUUCGUCUACUUUGGUUCAGCUAAUACAUUUGGCUGAUGGAAUAUUUUUUUUAUACAAAUGCUUUGAUGUAAACAUUUAUCCUUUACAUUUUUCAUAUUUCUGUAAUUCUGGACUGAAUAAACUCGAUAUAAAUAUGAAAAA